CAGUCGCCACGGUAAUACGGAGGGUGCAAGCGUUACUCGGAAUCACUGGGCGUAAAGGACGCGUAGGCGGAUUGUCAAGUCUCUUGUGAAAUCUAACGGCUUAACCGUUAAACUGCUUGGGAAACUGAUAAUCUAGAGUAAGGGAGAGGCAGAUGGAAUUCUUGGUGUAGGGGUAAAUCCGUAGAUAUCAAGAAGAAUACCUAUUGCGAAGGCGAUCUGCUGGAACUUAAUUGACGCUAAUGCGUGAAAGCGUGUGGAGCAAACAGGAUUAGAGACCCCCGUAGUCCCUGUCUCUUAUACA
rnacentral:rRNA from 1 species